UGAGCACCGUGGAGCAUGCAAGCC
rnacentral:piRNA from 1 species